rnacentral:rRNA from 1 species
AUUGAACGCUGGCGGCAGGCUUAACACAUGCAAGUCGAGCGGGGUGAUGGUGCUUGCACUAUCACUUAGCGGCGGACGGGUGAGUAAUGCUUAGGAAUCUGCCUAUUAGUGGGGGACAACAUCUCGAAAGGGAUGCUAAUACCGCAUACGUCCUACGGGAGAAAGCAGGGGAUCACUUGUGACCUUGCGCUAAUCGAUGAGCCUAAGUCGGAUUAGCUAGUUGGUGGGGUAAAGGCCUACCAAGGCGACGAUCCGUAGCGGGUCUGAGAGGAUGAUCCGCCACACUGGGACUGAGACACGGCCCAGACUCCUACGGGAGGCAGCAGUGGGGAAUAUUGGACAAUGGGGGGAACCCUGAUCCAGCCAUGCCGCGUGUGUGAAGAAGGCCUUAUGGUUGUAAAGCACUUUAAGCGAGGAGGAGGCUCUUUUGGUUAAUACCCAAGAUGAGUGGACGUUACUCGCAGAAUAAGCACCGGCUAACUCUGUGCCAGCCGCCGCAGUAA